UACGUAGGGGGCAAGCGUUGUCCGGAAUCAUUGGGCGUAAAGAGCGUGUAGGCGGCUUGGUAAGUCCGCUGUGAAAGUCCAGGGCUCAACCCUGGAAUGCCGGUGGAAACUGUCAAGCUUGAGUCCGGAAGAGGCGAGUGGAAUUCCUGGUGUAGCGGUGAAAUGCGCAGAUAUCAGGAGGAACACCGAUGGCGAAGGCAGUGGGCUGGGCCGGCACUGACGCUGAGGAGCGAAAGCGUGGGGAGCGAACAGG
rnacentral:rRNA from 1 species